rnacentral:tRNA from 2 species
GGGGGCGUGGUAUAGUUGGCAACACAGCGCGUUCGCAACGCGCAGUCAGGGGUUCGACUCCCCUCGCCUCCA